UGGCAUGAGGCAUGAGCCUGCCUUGUCGACGGUGCCUCCAGUUCUUCCUCGGCUACCUGCCGACAUUAUUGAAGAAUUAGAGGCAGCAGUGCGGGAUGAGGCUGUGGCUGCCACCUUGAUGUCAUCUGUGCGAAAGGGGGGGGGGGCAAUCAGACAGAAGCACAGGACUUCAUUAAGGGGUGGUUGCCAGGGUCUGUGGACAGGAGUGGUGGCAGGAAGAGGCGUUUCGCAGACACGUUUUCAGCAGAGCAGCCCGAAGAUCUCUCCCUUCGGGGCAGGCAAUCAUUGCCGGCCCACUGCUGCCCUCUCCCUGCCCCACCCUAGCCCUCAGGUCCCUGGCCAUUCCGCCGUCGGCCCCUCCUGUCCGGCUGCUGCUGCCCCUGCUCCUGCAGUCCCUGCCGCCCCGGCCCCUCCUCCUGCUGCUGCCCCUGGAGCUGAGCACCCCUACUGAUGCCGGCAUCAGUUCAAGAAUUGUAUUGUAAAUAGUAUUCUAAAUAAAUUAUAUUUUCGUUUA